rnacentral:rRNA from 1 species
GCUCACCUCUUCCCAUCCCGAACAGAGAAGUUAAGCCCGACUGCGCAGAUGGUACUGCAAUUUGUGGGAGAGUAUGUCGUCGCCUUUC